UACGGGGGGAGCAAGCGUUGUUCGGAAUUACUGGGCGUAAAGGGCGCGUAGGCGGCGUGACAAGUCACUUGUGAAAUCUCCGGGCUUAACUCGGAACGGUCAAGUGAUACUGUCGUGCUAGAGUACAGAAGGGGCAACUGGAAUUCUCGGUGUAGCGGUGAAAUGCGUAGAUAUCGAGAGGAACACCUGCGGCGAAGGCGGGUUGCUGGGCUGAUACUGACGCUGAGGCGCGAAAGCCAGGGGAGCGAACGGG
rnacentral:rRNA from 1 species